CCGUUGCGUCUGGCGGAGUUUCCAUUUUGGAAUCGCGGAUCCUUCACCAACUGCUUGGGACUUGCAGAAAACCAGAGACUACCACUCCCGCAGACGCAGAGGCCCAGCUGUCUCUCCCAUCAUCAUGCUCGGUUUUCAGUCAGGAUUAAUCCUGACUCCAACAAGUGCACUGCCAAGGAGCAGAUGAGCAAGACGACUGGGAGAGUGGU